GAUUUGCACAGAGGUAGUUGUUGAUGACAUAGAAGGUAUAACCUUUUUGCCUAACCUUUUUAAGUAUUAGUUAAAAGUAUAGUUAAAUAUAAAAGCAAACACAAUGUUUUUUUUUAAGAUAAUCCGAUUUUAAUACAGUCUGCAUGCACUACAGUAUAGUGAUUUUAAAAGAAAUAAUAAUAAAUAAAUAAAAUCAAUCAUAUAUACAUGAAAAGACUUAAUCACAUUUCAGAUGUCCAGUCACCAUUGAUGAAGGACGAAAACAGCACACUGGAUGACAUUAUAUCCGAAAAAACAAAGGCUGAUGUCAAUAACCUUCUUGAUUUUUCUCUUAUAAACAAUACAAUCUUUGAUGAAAACGUAAACCUCCAGCGCAUUAAAAAAUAUUUUACCACUGAAGCUUGGAAACAACUAAAAGUUAAGAUCACGGAAAGAAGGGAAACAUGCGACUGGAUAUGUAUAAAGUGUAAAACAAAACCUACACGAUCAGGACUCGUUGGCAUGUGAUUGCUGUUUAGACUGGCAACAUUUGAAAUGUGCAGGGUUGAAAUCUGUGCCAAAACAAUCAUAUUGGAUAUGUAAAAUUUGUUCGAAAUCUUAACUAGUCAGUUACAUGAAUCAUUUAUAAUUGGUUUAAAUUGAUUUAUUACUUGCUUCUUUAAUUUUUAUAAACUCAAGCUUUAAUUUUAGUAGUUUUAUAUAUUUUAAAAUUUCAGUUUCUG
rnacentral:lncRNA from 1 species